rnacentral:rRNA from 1 species
GUAGUCAUAUGCUUGUCUCAAAGAUUAAGCCAUGCAUGUCUAAGUAUAAGCAAUUACAAAGCGAAACUGCGAAUGGCUCAUUAUAUAAGUUAUCGUUUAUUUGAUAGUACCUUACUACAUGGAUAACCGUGGUAAUUCUAGAGCUAAUACAUGCUGAAAAUCCCGACUUCGGAAGGGAUGUAUUUAUUAGAUACAAAACCAAUGCCCUUCGGGGCUCUCUUGGUGAUUCAUGAUAACUUCUCGAAUCGCACGGCCCCGCGCCGGCGAUGGUUCAUUCAAAUUUCUUCCCUAUCAACUUUCGAUGCUACGGUAUUGUCCUAGCAUGGUUGCAACGGGUGACGGAGGGUUAGGGCUCGACCCCGGAGAAGGAGCCUGAGAAACGGCUACUACAUCCAAGGAAGGCAGCAGGCGCGCAAAUUACCCAAUCCCGACUCGGGGAGGUAGUGACGAUAAAUACCGAUGCAGGGCUCUUUUGGGUCCUGUAAUUGGAAUGAGUACAAUUCAAAUCCCUUAACGAGGAACAAUUGGAGGGCAAGUCUGGUGCCAGCAGCCGCGGUAAUUCCAGCUCCAAUAGCGUAUAUUAAAGUUGUU